AUUCCAGCUCCAGUAGCGUAUAUUAAAGUUGUUGCAGUUAAAAAGCUCGUAGUUGGAUUUCUGAUAGUAGCGUUGGGCCCGCCCGGGUUACCGGUGUGAGUGCCUGUUCGCUCCUUUCAUCCUUCUAGAGAACGGUUCUCUCCUUCAUUGGCAGUGGGAUCGCAAUCUAGAUCUUUUACUUUGAAAAAAUUAGAGUGUUUAAAGCAGGCUUGUGCUAUGAAUACAUUAGCAUGGAAUAAUAAUUUAGGACUUUAGUUCUAUUUUGUUGGUUUCUAGAACUGAAGUAAUGAUUGAUAGGGAUAGUUGGGGGUGCUAGUAUUCAGCGGCCAGAGGUGAAAUUCUUGGAUUCGCUGAAGACUAACUUAUGCGAAAGCAUUCACCAAGGAUGUCUUCAUUA
rnacentral:rRNA from 1 species